rnacentral:rRNA from 1 species
UACGUAGGGUGCAAGCGUUGUCCGGAAUUAUUGGGCGUAAAGAGCUCGUAGGCGGUCUGUUGCGUCGGCUGUGAAAACCCGGGGCUCAACUCCGGGCCUGCAGCCGAUACGGGCAGACUAGAGUUCGGCAGGGGAGACUGGAAUUCCUGGUGUAGCGGUGAAAUGCGCAGAUAUCAGGAGGAACACCGGUGGCGAAGGCGGGUCUCUGGGCUGUAACUGACGCUGAGGAGCGAAAGCGUGGGGAGCGAACAGG